rnacentral:rRNA from 1 species
CGUGAGUAACCUGCCUUACACAAGGGGAUAGCCUCUGGAAACGGAGAAUAAUACCCUAUGACAUUACAGCCUCGCAUGAAGCAGUAAUCAAAGUGUUUAGCGGUGUAAGAUGGACUUGCGUCUGAUUAGCUAGUUGGUGAGAUAACAGCUCACCAAGGCAACGAUCAGUAGCCGGCUUGAGAGAGUGUACGGCCACAUUGGGACUGAGGCACGGCCCAG